GAGCAUUGAUAUAAAACUCUGUGUAAAACAAUUUAUUAUAAUCUCAUCCAAAUAAAAGUUGAGAAAAAAGGAGCAAUUCAAGAAUAAUAAAUAAUCGUUGUAAAUUAUUUUAAAAAAUGCUACUAACCAUAUCUAUCUUAUCAUCUUCACUAAUCAAGUGAAUCCUUUGUGUUACAGUGUGAACAGCUGCUAAAUCAAGUGACCCAACGCAUACUUGAAUCGGAUUUUUCAUGUACGAUUGAGCUAAGCGUCUUACACCUUGUGGCCAUGUAGCGCUGACAAACAGAUAGAAUGCGGCGCAUUAACAUUCAUUGCAUCAAUUAUACAUAAUACUAAUGUGACUUAUGUAUACCUCGUCAUAACGGUUUGUCUAUCUGGUCGUACACCUAGUAAGGUUUUGCGAAUUUGUGGUUCAAAACCCAUGUCCAGCAUGCGAUCAGCUUCGUCAAGUAUGAGAUAUGUCACGGCUGAUACGUUUAACACUCCCGCUUGCACCAAGUCGUUUAAUCUUCCGGGGGUUGCGAUUACUAUCUGCACGCCCUUUGUUACCAUGUUGAUUUGUUGUUUCCGACUUCCACCACCGUACACGCACACGCUAAAAUAAUUUUCGAUCAUGUAUAAUAUAUAUAAGAGCUUAUAUUUUGCAAGAUGUAAAAUAGUAACACAUGAAAAUAUGCAAAUCGGAAUCUUAUAUGAAAUACACUCACGCUUUAAUACCGCGAUAAGAAUAUUUUCCAACUUCCUUUUCAAUUUGCAAUGCCAGUUCUCUAGUUGGUGCCAUAACGAGGACAUUUGGUCCAGGACGCUCUUCACGAGGAGAUACUUGCCCAUCAAUGUGGAUCAAAGCAGGCAAUAAGAAAGCAAGAGUUUUUCCUGAAAUCAUGAUUAUCAUUAAUAUAUCAAUAUAUGCGAAAUCGUAUAUGAAUCGUAACAAAAAUAAAAAAUCAUCGAACCAGUUCCGGUUUGCGCUAUCCCGAUAAGAUCUUGACCGCUCAAUAGAAUAGGCCAUGCUUGACAUUGUAUAGGGCUUGGUUUUUCAAAUUUCUGUUUUUGUAUUUCUUUGAGGAUAUCUGGAUAGUUCUACAAUAUAAAAAAAAAUAUGUAUCAAUUUUGUCAAAAUAAUAGAAUUAUAAACUAA